rnacentral:rRNA from 1 species
AGAGUUUGAUCAUGGCUCAGAACGAACGCUGGCGGCGUGCUUAACACAUGCAAGUCGCGUGCGCAGUUGCCGUAGCAAUACGGUGAUGGGCGCACGGCGCACGGGUGCGUAACACGUGGGCAAUCUGCCCUUUGAUGGGGAAUAACCCGCCGAAAGGCGGGCUAAUUCCGCAUAAGAUUCCCGGAACUUCGGUUCUGGGAUUGAAAGCAGCAAUGCGUCGAAGGAGGAGCCCGCGCCCGAUUAGCUAGUUGGUGAGGUAACGGCUCACCAAGGCUAUGAUCGGUAGCUGGUCUGAGAGGAUGAUCAGCCACACUGGAACUGAGACACGGUCCAGACUCCUACGGGAGGCAGCAGUGGGGAAUCUUGCACAAUGGGCGAAAGCCUGAUGCAGCGACGCCGCGUGGGGGAUGAAGCAUUUCGGUGUGUAAACCCCUUUCGACUGGGAAGAAUACCUCGCAAGAGGGGUGACGGUACCAGUAGAAGAAGCCCCGGCUAACUACGUGCCAGCAGCCGCGGUAAGACGUAGGGGGCCAGCGUUGUUCGGAAUUACUGGGUGUAAAGGGUUCGUAGGCGGUGCGGCAAGUUGGGAGUGAAAUCUCUGGGCUUAACCCAGAGGCUGCUUCCAAAACUGCUGUGCUCGAGUGUGAGAGAGGCGCGUGGAAUUGCAGGUGUAGCGGUGAAAUGCGUAGAUAUCUGCAGGAACACCCGUGGCGAAAGCGGCGCGCUGGAUCACUACUGACGCUGAGGAACGAAAGCUAGGGGAGCAAACAGGAUUAGAUACCCCCGUAGUCC